rnacentral:rRNA from 1 species
UACAGAGGUCCCAAGCGUUGUUCGGAUUCACUGGGCGUAAAGGGUGCGUAGGUGGUGGGGUAAGUCGGAUGUGAAAUCUCGGAGCUCAACUCCGAAAUGGCAUUGGAAACUGCCCUGCUAGAGGGUCGGAGGGGGGACUGGAAUUCUCGGUGUAGCAGUGAAAUGCGUAGAUAUCGAGAGGAACACCAGUGGCGAAGGCGAGUCCCUGGACGACUCCUGACACUGAGGCACGAAAGCUAGGGGAGCAAACAGG